GUGCUCGCUCGGCAGCACAUAUACUAAAAUUGGAACGAUACAGAGAUCAGCAUGGCCCCUGUGCAAGGAUGACAUGAAAUUUGUGAAGCGUUCCACAUUUAA
ensembl:snRNA U6 U6 spliceosomal RNA